rnacentral:rRNA from 1 species
CCUACGGGAGGCAGCAGUGAGGAAUAUUGGUCAAUGGUCGGGAGACUGAACCAGCCAAGCCGCGUGAGGGAGGAAGGUACAGAGUAUCGUACACCUCUUUUGUCAGGGAACAAAGGCGGGGACGUGUCCUCGGAUGAGUGUACCUGAAGAAAAAGCAUCGGCUAACUCCGUGCCAGCAGCCGCGGUAAUACGGAGGAUGCGAGCGUUAUCCGGAUUUCUUGGGUUGAAGGGGUGGGCAGGCGGGCUGUUUAGUCAGCGGUGAAAGGCCGGGGCCCCACCCCGGGACCGCCGUUGAAACUGGCAGUCUCGAGUAGGAGAGAAGUAUGCGGAAUGCGCGGGGUAGCGGUGAAAUGCAUAGAUAUCGCGCAGAACUCCGAUUGCGAAGGCAGCAUGCCGGCUCCACACUGACGCUGAGGCACGAAAGCGUGGGUAUCGAACAGGAUUAGAUACCCGUGUAGUC